UACGUAGGGUGCGAGCGUUGUCCGGAAUUAUUGGGCGUAAAGAGCUCGUAGGCGGUCUGUCGCGUCGAUCGUGAAAACUUGGGGCUUAACCCUGAGCUUGCGGUCGAUACGGGCAUGACUGGAGUUCGGCAGGGGAGACUGGAAUUCCUGGUGUAGCGGUGAAAUGCGCAGAUAUCAGGAGGAACACCAAUGGCGAAAGCAGCUCUCUGGGACGGUACUGACGCUGAGACGCGAAAGCGUGGGGAGCGAACAGG
rnacentral:rRNA from 1 species